GCGACAGUAGCUCAGUUGGUUGCCGUGGGCUGCGUAGCAGUCCGCGGGCGUAGCAGCACUCAGCUUCCCAAGCUGAGGGUCGCGGGUUCGACCCCCGUCUGUCGCU
rnacentral:tRNA from 1 species